rnacentral:tRNA from 1 species
UAUAUAAUAAUGUUUAGGCAUAUUUAAUUUUGAAUUAAAAUGGAAUAACUCAUUAUUAUUUUAUAUAA